rnacentral:rRNA from 1 species
CACCGCGGUCAUACGAGUGUUAGCCCAAGUGGAUGGUUAACGGCGUAAAGAGUGGUUAGGGAUCCCCAAAACUAAAGCUGAACGCCCGCAGGGCCGUUAUACGCAUCCGAGAGCAUGAAACCCCACCACGAAGGUGACUUUAACUUUACCCGAACCCACGACAGCUAGGGUA